GACGAACGCUGGCGGCGUGCUUAACACAUGCGAGUCGAACGGAAAGGCCUUUUCGGAGGUACUCGAGUGGCGAACGGGUGAGUAACACGUGGGUGAUCUGCCCUGCACUCUGGGAUAAGCCUGGGAAACUGGGUCUAAUACCGGAUAGGACCGCACUUUAGUGUGUGUGGUGGAAAGUUGUUUCGGUGUAGGAUGAGCCCGCGGCCUAUCAGCUUGUUGGUGGGGUAAUGGCCUACCAAGGCGGCGACGGGUAGCCGGACUGAGAGGUUGGUCGGCCACAUUGGGAAUGAGAUACGGCCCAGACUCCUACGGGAGGCAGCAGUGGGGAAUAUUGCACAAUGGGCGCAAGCCUGAUGCAGCGACGCCGCGUGGGGGAUGACGGCCUUCGGGUCGUAAACUCCUUUCGCCAGGGACGAAGCGUUUUGUGACGGUACCUGGAGAAGAAGCACCGGCUAACUACGUG
rnacentral:rRNA from 1 species